rnacentral:rRNA from 1 species
UACAGAGGGUGCAAGCGUUAAUCGGAAUUACUGGGCGUAAAGCGUGCGCAGGCGGUUGUGUAAGACAGAUGUGAAAUCCCCGGGCUCAACCUGGGAACUGCAUUUGUGACUGCAUCGCUGGAGUGCGGCAGAGGGGGAUGGAAUUCCGCGUGUAGCAGUGAAAUGCGUAGAUAUGCGGAGGAACACCGAUGGCGAAGGCAAUCCCCUGGGCCUGCACUGACGCUCAUGCACGAAAGCGUGGGGAGCAAACAGG